rnacentral:rRNA from 1 species
UCCUACGGGACGCAGCAGUGGGGAAUUUUGGACAAUGGGCGCAAGCCUGAUCCAGCUAUUCCGCGUGUGGGAAGACGGCCUUCGGGUUGUAAACCACUUUCGUAGAGAACGAAAAGUCUAUUGAUAAUACCGAUAGAUGAUGACGGUACUCUAAGAAUAAGCACCGGCUAACUACGUGCCAGCAGCCGCGGUAAUACGUAGGAUGCGAGCGUUAAUCGGAAUUACUGGGCGUAAAGGGUGUGCAGGCGGUUUUGCAAGAUGGAUGUGAAAGCCCCGGGCUUAACCUGGGAAAGCCAUACAUGACU